GACGAACGCUGGCGGCGUGCUUAACACAUGCAAGUCGAGCGGUGAUCUUGGGAGCUUGCUCCUGGGUGAUCAGUGGCGAACGGGUGAGUAACACGUGAGUAACCUGCCCCUGACUCUGGAAUAACUUCGGGAAACCGAAGCUAAUACCGGAUAUGACACAGAGCCGCAUGGUUUCUGUGUGGAAAGUUUUUUCGGUUAGGGAUGGACUCGCGGCCUAUCAGCUUGUUGGUGAGGUAAUGGCUCACCAAGGCGACGACGGGUAGCCGGCCUGAGAGGGCGACCGGCCACACUGGGACUGGGACACGGCCCAGACUCCUGCGGGAGGCAGCAGUGGGGAAUAUUGCACAAUGGGCGAAAGCCUGAUGCAGCGACGCCGCGUGAGGGAUGAAGGCCUUCGGGUUGUAAACCUCUUUCAGUAGGGAAGAAGCGCAAGUGACGGUACCUACAGAAGAAGCACCGGCUAACUACGUGCCAGCCGCCGCAGUAA
rnacentral:rRNA from 1 species